GGAGGAAUAUUGGUCAAUGGGCGGGAGCCUGAACCAGCCAAGCCGCGUGAGGGAAGAAGGCCCUAUGGGUCGUAAACCUCUUUUGUCAGGGAACAAAAGCGAGUAUGUAUACUAGUCUGAGUGUACCUGAAGAAAAAGCAUCGGCUAACUCCGUGCCAGCAGCCGCGGUACUACGGAGGAUGCGAGCGUUAUCCGGAUUUAUUGGGUUUAAAGGGUGCGUAGGCGGCGAUGCAAGUCAGCGGUAAAAGCCCGGGGCUCAACCCCGGCGAGCCGUUGAAACUGCAGUGCUAGAGAAGGCGAGAGGUACGCGGAAUGCGCAGUGUAGCGGUGAAAUGCUUAGAUAUUGCGCAGAACUCCGAUUGCGAAGGCAGCGUACUGGCGCCUGACUGACGCUGAGGCACGAAAGCGUGGGGAUCGAACAGGAUUAGAUACC
rnacentral:rRNA from 1 species